rnacentral:rRNA from 1 species
UACGUAGGGGGCAAGCGUUGUCCGGAUUUAUUGGGCGUAAAGAGCGUGUAGGCGGCCAAACAGGUCCGUUGUGAAAACUCGAGGAUUAACCUCGAGCUGUCGGCGGAAACCAUCUGGCUAGAGUCCGGAAGAGGAGAAUGGAAUUCCCGGUGUAGCGGUGAAAUGCGCAGAUAUCGGGAAGAACACCCGUGGCGAAGGCGGUUCUCUGGGACGGUACUGACGCUGAGACGCGAAAGCGUGGGGAGCGAACAGG